UACGGAGGGGGCGAGCGUUGUUCGGAAUUACUGGGCGUAAAGGGCGCGUAGGCGGCCAUCUAAGUCAGACGUGAAAUCCCCCGGCUUAACCUGGGAACUGCGUCUGAUACUGGACGGCUUGAGUAUGGGAGAGGGAUGUAGAAUUCCAGGUGUAGCGGUGAAAUGCGUAGAUAUCUGGAGGAAUACCGGUGGCGAAGGCGGCAUCCUGGACCAUUACUGACGCUGAGGCGCGAAAGCUAGGGGAGCAAACGGG
rnacentral:rRNA from 1 species